rnacentral:rRNA from 1 species
UACGGAGGGUGCAAGCGUUAUCCGGAUUUAUUGGGUUUAAAGGGUCCGUAGGCGGAUCUGUAAGUCAGUGGUGAAAUCUCACAGCUUAACUGUGAAACUGCCAUUGAUACUGCAGGUCUUGAGUGUUAUUGAAGUAGCUGGAAUAAGUAGUGUAGCGGUGAAAUGCAUAGAUAUGACUUAGAACACCAAUUGCGAAGGCAGCUUGCUAAACAAUGAUUGACGCUGAGGCACGAAAGCGUGGGGAUCAAACAGG